rnacentral:lncRNA from 1 species
AAACUCUUAUUCUUUAUUAACCAUGAUUCAAUUAUAAAUUAAAUAUUUAAUAGCUAUAAUUUUAUAUAAAUUGAAGUGUUAAAUAUUGAAACUAAAGUUAAUCAUGUGAUGAUUUAAUUGAUUUUUUUAUUUAUACGAGGAGCGACAAAUCUCGAAUUUGAUUGAAUUUGAUUGGAGUGGACGGUGAAGCUUCGCCAACUACAUAUUGUCCUUUUCAGGAAAGAAAAAGGAAACUAAAGCUAAUGAAUUAUGAGUUUGUGACUUUUUGUGCAUCCCUUGAACUACAUUUGUCCGGUGGCUUCUUGUCUCAUCAUCUCCAAUGAUGUCUGGGUCCAACCCAUCUAAUCAAACUAUAUCCUAUCUGCCAUUUCUGAUGAAUCAGCUGUAACUUAUUAGCAUUUUUGUGUUUUUAGGGCAACACAAAGCUAGUUUAUGUUCAAAGUAUGUGAGAGAGAGGCUAGAAAAGGGGGAUUCAUUUGACCAAAGAAAUAGAGAUGAAUCUCUAAGGCAUUGGUUUAUGUUAAAGCUAAUCUGUUAUUUAUAAUUCAAGCGUUGACAAUCUCAAAGCAAAAUAAUACCAGCCAGCGGCAACUGAAAAUGCUUCAACAGUUGAUGCUAGCGGUGGCUGUAAUAAACAGAAUCUACCAUGACGCUACCAAGAACAGCCCCUCAAAGUGUAGAGAAGCUGUAAUAAACAGAAGCUGAGAAGUGGUUAAUGGAACCGCCUCUAGGAUUUGUAAUAUGUAGUUUUCCAUCCUUUUAUAUAUAUAUAUAUAUAUAUAUAUAUAUAUAUAUAUAGUUUUACACGUUGGUAUGUUAGAAAGAGAAAAUCUGGUUGGUCUUAUGAAUUAAUAUAGAAUUAUCAAUGUUAAAAAGACUUUAUUUAAAUAUUAUUUUAUCAAAUGUGGAGGAACAUGUAAGAAGAAUAAUCAUUUGAUAACACUAGUAGUUUU